rnacentral:rRNA from 1 species
GGUUGACCUCGGAUUAGGUAGGAAUACCCGCUGA